rnacentral:misc_RNA from 1 species
UCCUGGUUUAAAGCCAGGCAGUCUGUUUAGAGAUCCCGCUUGCGCAGGCAACUAAACACAAGGGUUGCGCUCGUUGCGGCACUUAAGCCAACAUCUCACGACACGAGCUGACGACAACCAUGCAGCACCUGUGCUGGCUCCUAUCUUGCGAUAGGUCGUCUCCGUUUCUGGAUUCUACCACCAGCAUGUCAAGGCCAGGUAAGGUUCUUCGCGUUGCAUCGAAUUAAGCCACAUGCUCCACCGCUUGUGCGGGCCCCCGUCAAUUUCUUUGAGUUUUAACCUUGCGGUCGUACUUCCCAGGCGGUUCACUUAUCGCGUUAGCUACGGCACGCAGGGGGUCGACUCCCCGCACACCAAGUGAACACCGUUUAGGGCCAGGACUA